CCCAACGGACCCAGAAGGAUCCGAAACCCAGAACCCAGCAAAAACCCGACCCUCCAACGACCUAUGACCCAACAAACCCAUGACCCGAACCUCUUCUUUUUCUGCUUCUUCUUCUUUCCUCCUUGUCUGGUCGAAACAGAGAGAAGAGAGAUCGGGAGAGCAGAGAGGGGGAGAGUGUACCGCCGGAGAUGAGACCCAGACCCGGUCCUUGUUUGGGUCGUCGCCAAUGGGCCAGAGGACGCAAUUCCGGUGGCCUGAAGCAUGAUUUCCGACGAUCCUUCGUUGAAUUUCUAAUGGAUUUUCACAGAAAAUCCUCAAGAAAAAUGAGCCAUUAUGAGAACUGCACCAAAAGGCUGUUUAUAGACAAAGAUUAGAGCUCGAGUGGUCUUCAAGUUAAAGAUAUAUAGUUUGUAUUUUGUUUGUAGUCUUCUGUGUUUAUAACAUUUUAUGUUGACAAGAUUGCUAAUAAUUUCCAUGUAUUC